UACGUAGGGGGCGUAGCGUUGCUCGGAAUCACUGGGCGUAAAGGGUGCGUAGGCGGGUCUUUAAGUCAGGGGUGAAAUCCUGGAGCUCAACUCCAGAACUGCCUUUGAUACUGAAGAUCUUGAGUUCGGGAGAGGUGAGUGGAACUGCGAGUGUAGAGGUGAAAUUCGUAGAUAUUCGCAAGAACACCAGUGGCGAAGGCGGCUCACUGGCCCGAUACUGACGCUGAGGCACGAAAGCGUGGGGAGCAAACAGG
rnacentral:rRNA from 1 species